rnacentral:rRNA from 1 species
CCUACGGGGGGCACCAGUAGGGAAUAUUGGUCAAUGGGUGAGAGCCUGAACCAGCCAUGCCGCGUGCAGGAAGACGGCCUUCUGGGUUGUAAACUGCUUUUGCCAGGGGAUAAAAUUUCCUUGCGAGGAAAAUUGAAGGUACCUGGUGAAUAAGCCACGGCUAACUACGUGCCAGCGGCCGCGGUAAUACGUAGGUGGCAAGCGUUGUCCGGAUUUAUUGGGUUUAAAGGGUGCGUAGGCGGCCCUGUAAGUCAGUGCUGAAAUAUCCCGGCUUAACUGGGAGGGUGGCAUUGAUACUGUGGGGCUAGAGUACAGAUGAGGUAGGCGGAAUUGACGGUGUAGCGGUGAAAUGCCUAGAUAUCGUCAAGAACACCUAUAGCGAAGGCAGCUUACUAGGCUGUAACUGACGCUGAGGCACGAAAGUGUGGGGAUCAAACAGGAUUAGAUACCCGCGUAGUC